GGAUAUAGGAUUUAAUAUAACUUUUAAUUAUAUUUAAUAUGUCAGAAUUGUAAGAUAGCAGCAUAAAAUAUGAUUUUAGAGUUAGUAUUAAAACUAUAUCU
rnacentral:SRP_RNA from 1 species